CUCGGCGGCACUAGCGCGGUGGUCCCACCUGACCCCAUGCCGAACUCAGAAGUGAAACGCCGUAGCGCCGAUGGUAGUGUGGGGUCUCCCCAUGUGAGAGUAGGGAACUGCGGGCA
rnacentral:rRNA from 1 species